rnacentral:misc_RNA from 1 species
GAUGAAGAACGUAGCGAAAUGCGAUAAGUAAUGUGAAUUGCAGAAUUCAGUGAAUCAUCGAAUCUUUGAACGCACAUUGCGCCCGCCAGUAUUCUGGCGGGCAUGCCUGUUCGAGCGUCAUUUCAACCAUCAAGCCCCCGGGCUUGUGUUGGGGACCUGCGGCUGCCGCAGGCCCUGAAAAGCAGUGGCGGGCUCGCUGUCACACCGAGCGUAGUAGAUUUUAUCUCGCUCUGGGCGUGCUGCGGGUUCCGGCCGUUAAACCACCCUUUUAACCCAAGGUUGACCUCGGAUCAGGUAGGAAGCCCCGCUGAACUUAAGCAUAUCAAUAAGCGGAGGA